GCCUGGCUGGCUCAGUCGGUAGAGCAUCUGACUCUUGAUCUCAGGGUCGUGAGUUCAAGCCCCGCAUUGGGCA
rnacentral:tRNA from 1 species